rnacentral:rRNA from 1 species
UACAGAGGUCCCAAGCGUUGUUCGGAUUCAUUGGGCGUAAAGGGUGCGUAGGUGGCGCCGUAAGUGGGGGUGUGAAAUUUCGGAGCUCAACUCCGAAACUGCAUUCCAUACUGCGGUGCUUUGAGGACUGGGAGAGGAGACUGGAAUUCAUGGUGUAGCAGUGAAAAUGCGUAGAGAUCAUGAGGAAGACCAGUGGCGAAGGCGGGGUCUCUGGACAGUUCCUGACACUGAGGCACGAAGGCUAGGGGGGAGCGAAACGGGG